rnacentral:rRNA from 1 species
GUGUCAGCAGCCGCGGUAAUACGGAGGGUGCAAGCGUUAUCCGGAAUCAUUGGGUUUAAAGGGUCCGCAGGCGGGCAUAUAAGUCAGUGGUGAAAGCCUACAGCUCAACUGUAGAACUGCCAUUGAUACUGUAAGUCUUGAAUUCGGUCGAAGUGGGCGGAAUGUGUAGUGUAGCGGUGAAAUGCAUAGAUAUUACACAGAACACCGAUAGCGAAGGCAGCUCACUAGGCCUGGAUUGACGCUCAGGGACGAAAGCGUGGGGAUCAAACAGGAUUAGAUACCCUGGUAGUCCACGCUGUAAACGAUGAUUACUCGUUUUCGGCGAUAUACAGUCGGAGACUAAGCGAAAGUGAUAAGUAAUCCACCUGGGGAGUACGAUCGCAAGGUUGAAACUCAAAGGAAUUGACGGGG